AGAUCAGAGCGGGAACCAAACACUCGUUCUCUGGUCUGCCUCAUCUCCAGCUGCCUGCGACGUAGAUAGUUGUCUGGUAGCCCCCUGGCUGUGUUGAAAUGGAUAAUUAUGAACGGCCUAUCUGUUAUAGCUAAUGCAACCCAAGCAAGAUUUUCUCCCAAAUUUGCCUUCUCGCUCUUACCGCUCCACACUCAUCCCUUCCAACUUCCUCUUUCAGUUGCUCCCUCAAGGUCGUCACAGCUCCUCUACCUCCCUCGAAAAUCAAUCUCUAGACUCUCUUCUACUGGCUUCGCUAUCCUUGUUUUUCUGCUCGAACGCAGGUUUCAACCAUCACCAACCUGCUACCUUGGGUCACUAGGUUACAGGUGCUCGUGGAUACGCCUCCACCUUCACUCCUCUCUUCCAAUUUUAUCAAGAUUACUGUCACAGCUGCAAAGUUCUGCCAGUGCGAAAUCCGAAUUCAUACUCCACAGUAAAGUUUAGAGGGCGUUAGAUAGAGGUCAGAAACCCCGAGCAGUGUACAGACGCAAUCUUUUCGCCAGCACACCCGCUGGCCCGCGGUUGAAGAAUUCAGACGUUGAAGAAUAAUUGGAGAAACGUUUACUGUUUCAGUUUUUCAAGCCGACCAUCUCCCUUGAAGUGGAAGAGCCUCCGUUUGAUUUAAGAUGGUUCGCACAAACGUUGAUGUCGUUGACGAUGAUGGCCAUCUCUACUUACACCAGCCACGCUGACUGAUGGACGAAUUUGGGAGAGUGAGUUCGGGGAGUUCAGGCGUAGACAGGAAACAGCAGGAAUUCUCCGAGCAUUUCAGGAUGCCGUCUCUGGAGCCCUCAACGAGUUUCCCAACGUUUGGGUCAUAUGCCGGUAACAAUAAGAAGCCCAUGGACAGGGGAAACCGAGGCUCUCUGGAAGUAUUCGGCGGUGCUCCGCGGCUCAUGCAAGCGGGGGUAUAUGGCGGUCCGGCAGUCGCGGAGAACAUUGAGCCGCAAGAAGGCAGCCCCAAUCUUCUGCAAAGCGUCUCGGGGUCGCUCAGCAGCUGGAGCGGAGUAGACGUCGAAUCACCACAACAUUCACUCGGUCCGAAGGUGACCUCAACAGUUCCAGCUCUGGCACAGAGCAGCCGCAAAUUGGCAGAGAUCGAGAAAUCUCUUUCAGAGAGGGCUAUGGUUGUAGAAGGGCUGACAUCGAAAAUGAAUUCUGCCAGAAACUCUCGCAGCAACUCACAAUCGUCUCGGGGCAAUGAUCACGCGAGUGACAGGGAUGUAAUGAAGCCCGUGAAGGAAAACUCUUUGUCGCAGGAGCUCAUGGCUGAGAGAGUUGCUGAAUGGGGACUCGUGCUCAGGUCUAGCGUAGAUGGACAAUCGCAAGGCGUGACCACUCGUAAGUCAGAGGAAAUGCGGAUGAGGCGAUCAAGUGAAAAUUACCAGAGACCAUCUGGCUCUUAUCGAAGAUUCUCUGAAGAGUACCAAAAGUCGGAGUAUAUUCCACGCACGAGACCAGGCUCGAGAGCACACUCGGAGGUGUCAGAGGAGGUACCUGUGCGUGUUUCGGAGGAUUUACUUGACGCAUUGUCUUCCUUCAAGCAAACCUUUGUGGUAUCAGAUGCAACGAAACCGGACUACCCCAUCAUGUACGCGAGUGCGGGAUUCUUCAGCAUGACUGGGUACAGCCCGAAGGAGGUGAUCGGCUACAAUUGCCGAUUCUUGCAAGGCCCUGACACGGAUCCCAUGGAAGUUGAAAAGAUUCGGCAGGCUGUGAGGACUGGGAAGCCUUUCUGUGGCCGGUUACUGAACUACAGAAAGGAUGGGACGCAGUUCUGGAAUUUGCUAACCAUCACGCCAAUCAAGGACGAAAAUGACAAGGUCAUCAAGUUCAUUGGGAUGCAAGUGGAAGUGAGCAAGUACACUGAGGGUGCUAAAGCCGUGGCUCGACGUCCCAACGGUCUGCCCGAGUCGCUCAUCCGAUACGACGCUCGGCAGAAAGAUAAAGCAACAGAAUCGGUGACUGAGCUAGUGGGAGCCUUCAAGAAACCGCCGCCAGUGACUCCGCCGACACAAGCGAUUGCAGCAGAUUCGUUCGUGUCCCCACUCCCGGGCAUUCACUCAAUCUCAUCGCCGAAGUUCUCUAACGUCAAAGAGCACAGCCACCGUGGCUCCAGUGAACCUCACCCCAGCUUGCGCCACCAGAAGCUUUCCGGAGUGUCGGAACAUGAUCUCAUGUCUACCACUCGCAGCAAGCGCACGUCAGGAUUCUUAUCCCUCCUUGGGAUAGGGAAGUCGCAACGAUUGAUGCACGAAGAUAUCCCGGAAUCCGAGUUCGAUCCAGAGGUUGUAAUGCUGGGGUAUGAGCGGCCUGAGAGCCAAGACGACUUUGACCGUACUCUGGGUAUCCGUAGAGGAAUCGACUUGGCCACCACGCUUGAGCGAAUCGACAAAAACUUUGUCAUUACCGAUCCUCGGCUCCCUGACAAUCCAAUUAUUUUUGCGUCUGACGAGUUCUUGGAAUUGACUGAGUAUACUCGAGAGGAGGUUCUGGGUCGGAACUGCAGAUUUUUGCAAGGCCAAGACACAGAUCAAAACACUGUGCAACAGAUAAGAGACGCAAUCAAAGAGAAUAGAGAUAUCACAGUCCAAUUGUUGAAUUACACUAAGAGCGGGAAACCAUUUUGGAAUCUCUUCCAUCUGCAGGCCAUGCGCGAUCAAAGGGGGGAGUUGCAGUACUUUAUCGGAGUGCAGCUGGAUGGGAGUCAGUAUGUGGAACCGGUUCGUCAUCGACUGUCUGAUAAUACGGAGAAAGCGAGUGCAAAGCUGGUACGAGAAACUGCAAGGAAUAUCGACGUGGCAGUUCGUGAGUUACCAGAUGCAAAUACGUCACCGGAGGACUUGUGGGCGAACCAUUCAGAGUUUGUGAAACCCAAGCCACACAUGGGUGGAACCGCAGCAUGGAAAGCCUUGAUUAAGGUGAGGAGCAGUGGACAGAAGUUGGGAUUGAAGCAUUUCAAGCCCAUCAAACCUCUGGGUUGCGGCGAUACUGGAAGUGUACACCUCGUAUCACUGCGCGGAACUGGCCAUGUCUUUGCCAUGAAGGCUAUGGAUAAGACAGUUAUGCUGGAUCGCAACAAGGUGCAUCGAGCUUGUGCUGAGAGGCUUAUUUUGGACCUUGUAGAUCAUCCUUUUCUACCCACUCUGUAUGCAUCAUUUCAGACUAUGACACACGUUUGUUUGAUUACGGACUUUUGUCCUGGUGGAGAGCUUUUCUUGGUGCUCGAGAGACAGCCUAAAAAGCAUUUUCAAGAGGACUCUGCCAGGUUUUAUGCUGCUGAGGUGGUUCUUGCGCUAGAGUAUCUACACUGCAUAGGAGUGGUCUACAGAGACCUGAAGCCAGAAAACAUCUUGGUCACAGCUAGUGGACAUGUGCAACUCACUGAUUUUGACCUGUCUUUCGUAUCCUCACCUCGAGUGGAGAUGGUCACACCUCCGAAGCCAAAAAAGAAAAGCAGGAAGAAGUCUAAGAAUGUUCCUCGCCCUGUGAUCUUUGCUGAGCCAGUGACAUCAUCGAACUCUUUCGUGGGGACCGAAGAGUAUAUUGCCCCUGAGAUCAUUUCGGGUCUAGGGCAUAGCAGCGCUGUGGACUGGUGGGCUUUAGGUAUAUUGCUAUAUGAGAUGCUAUUUGGACGUACGCCAUUCAGAGGGAAGAAUCGACAAAACACUUUCUCAAACAUUCUAGAGAAGGAGCUCUACUUCCCAUCAAGUAUUCCUGUGAGUUUGGAAGCUAAGCUGUUGAUACGAGAUCUUCUUAACAAAGAUCCUCUGAAGAGGCUUGGCUCUUAUCGUGGUGCAAAUGACAUCAAGAAUCACCCAUUUUUCAAAGACAUCAACUGGCCUCUCAUACGCAUCAUGACACCACCUCCUCUCGAGGUCCCACUGAAUCUCACCUCGAGUCUGCCAGACUUUGAGGACAAAGACGCAGAGCUUGAAUGGGACGAUCUUGAGGCUGACUCAACGUUCAAUGAUACUUUUUGAUACUGUCAGCUAAGCGUUGCAUCUGAGUCAGAUAAGACUUCUUCCAAGACAUCUUCCAGUCCGUCUGAAUAUUCUAUGUCUUUGCGUGCGGCUCCAAGUCGAGUUACCGCAGCCAGGAACUUCAUUCUGGUGAAGCAAGUUAAGAAACCAAGUCUCCACAGGUUGUAUACUAUUUUAUAUGGGUUAACAAUCGUGCCCCACUGGCGCUUUCAGUUCAUGCCAUUUUUGCAGUGCAUCAUCAAGGGUCCUGACGUCUAGCGACAGUGCAGGACUUCCAUGAAGAAUGGGAUGUUGUAGAGUCCAAGCCCCGCCAAAUAAGAUUUUUGAGCUACUAGGUACUGAAGAAAGGUUAAGGUUAUCACAAUAUGCAGGUCAACUUGCGAUGAGGUAGAACAUAGUACGAGAGAAAUAUAUAUAUAUAUGUAUAUGUAUAUUCACUCAUCCUAUCACUGUGUGCGGAAGUGCUUCCGAAUUUAAAUUUACCAACAGUAAUGAAAAUGGCUUCUUAUAGUGAAAAUUUCAAUACA